UUGUCUUCACAGGUAGGCGAACCUUUCUUUGAUACUAUGAAAAAAAGUUGAGGCUUCACUGUAAAACUAAUUGACAAUAUGGGGAAUAGCCGAACUUACUUAAGUGAUAGGAGCAUAUUUAUGCGACUUAGUUAGCUUGUUUUCUUGCAUUUUCAUAGCUAGUUUCUACUUAUUAUAGUGUUUUAAGCUAUUUUCGUGUGUUUGUAGGUCUAAUUGGCAAAGUUGGCAAGAAAGUGCAUUUUGAAGCAUUAUAGAGCACUUUUGGGCACCAAAUGGAUAGCUUAUAAGGGGAACAAGAUGGAUGGACGAAUUUGAAGUUCAAGAGGCUACGGAUGUGAUGAAAAGAUGAAGAAAAUAAAUCCAAGACAAAGAAGAUAAGGAAUCAGCUCAAAAGAAGGAACAUUAUCCAAAACCUUAUCCAACCUUAUCUUCUCCAAACAAACCUUAUCUUAUCUUAUCCUUGCCUAAUCUAGCUUUAUCCUAUCUUAUUCAAAUUAGUUUAUGCCUUAAAUCCAGUUGCAAGAGGACCUAAAUAUCUGAUUUCUAGCAGGCUUAUCAUUUCCCUACAUAUAUGCUGCACCCUUGCUCUUCUAGAACCCCUAAAUUGGUGCCGUGUCAACCUUUCUGGAAGACCCUAUAAAUCUGGCGUUUUUCCUUGUUCUAGAAGCCUUAGAAUCUCUUGGAACCUUUAAUCCUUUUCCUUGUGGAUUUGGGUUAUGCAAAUCCUUUUCAGAAAUUAAUUGGGCCAAACCUUUUUUCUGGUGGAUUUAAACCGUUGUGCCGCACCUUUAGGCCCUAGUCCUUUAUUUAUGCUGAUUUCUAACCCUAAUCUGAUUCCCCCUAGGGUUUGCCAUGCCUAUAUAUAUGUAUUUUCAGCCAAAAUUCGUCCACCACCCCCUAUAUACUUCUAAAACCUUUUCAGUCGUAGAAACACACCAUUCUACACCUUUGCCACACCCUUGGGAGAAGAAGAGAAGCUUGCCAUGCCUUCCAUUUGAGCAAGGACCUUGUGCACAAGCCACCUACAACAUUGGAGCUCUAAGAGUUCUUUCUUCCCUCAUUUUAGUUUCAAUGUUUAUUUCAGUUUGCUUUUCAAUUGCCAUGAACACGUGUAACUAAGUUUUUCUUAGUUAGAGGUGAAUUCAAAGCCAUGGACAUAUGUUUAAUAUGAAUUGAUUCCUUUCAGUUUUUGUUUCGUAAAACAUGGAUGUGAUUUACUUAUCUAUUUGAUUGAUAACUUAUUCUUAUGUGUUGAUUAAGGAUGCAUACUUAGUUUGCAUACAUGAAUCUGAUGCUAAAUUAUAAGGGACUUUCACCUAAUCGUUAGGAACUUAUAAUUAAAAGUAUUGGAGAUUGCUAGUCACAAUUGUGUUAAGUAGAUUCUUGGCUGGUGUAUCAUGCAGUUCAUAGUUACGAUAGCCUUGUCAAUGCUUAUGAUUUCCAUGGAACUUAAUGAUCUUUGAAUGUAUCUCUAUCAUGUUGUUCAUAUAGGGAGCGUGAGAAGAAUAAUUUGGUUGUGAUGCGUUGUCCAUUCAAUUCAAUGAAUUUAAGGAAAUCUGAGAGUUAAUUUGUGCAUUCACGAUUAAUUUGGGGCAUUGUCAUUCAUGAUUUAAAGAAACAAUACUGGAAAUUGAUUUAUGUUGCAUAUGUUCAUGUGUGGAGAAGGACCCUCUAACUAGCCUAUUUCACCAUUCAAUUCACCUAAUUUCGUACCUAGUUUGAUUUAGUUUUGCAAUCUGUUCAAUUUAAUUAAUUUCGUUCAAAUCAAUUCUCCCUUUUAUUAAGUGUGUUAGAUUAGUUAGAAAAGUGUUUAAAUCUGUCCAAUUUAGUGUUUUGAGUCUUCAUAGUCUUAAAUUCGUCUAAAUCACUCCCUAGAGUCUAUUUUGAGUCCUUUUAACUUAGUUUUGGUGUUUUGAGUUAGUUUGGUCAGUUUUGAGUCAUAAGAGUCUAGUUUUCUGUUUUUGAGUCUAGUUUAGUGUUUUAAAGUUUAAAUUGAAUAGAUUAGCAUCCCUUCUAAUCCUCGGCCUAAAACGAUCGCUACUUACAUAUACAACAAUCAUAGAGUUUUAAUUUGAGUGUUGGAUAAUUUUCACAUCAAAUUUUGGCGCCGUUGCUGGGGAUUAGCAAAAUUGCUGAUCACCCUAUUUUGUUUAUUUUACUUUUGAUAUUUGAUUUAGUUUUCUUUCUUUGAUUUUAGGUACUAGAGAAGUAAGACAUAGCAAUUGCUAAUCUUCAAGCUCAAGUAACGAAUCUCACUUCUUAGUUAACGCAAUAUAUCGAAAGGACCACAAGGCAAAGUGUCCCUACAUUUGGUGAGUCUUAUAGGUAAGAAUAUUGUUUAUACCAUAUGUAGGGCCUCGUAUUUAGACCUCAUAUAAAUACUUGGGGGACUUAAAUGUAAUUAUGUAAUAAAGGAAGGGGCAAAUAUGUAAUAAGUGAGGAGUCCUUAUUUUAUAAAAGGACCCCUCACUCUCACAAUUUAGAGAGGCCAAUUCCUAAGGCUCCUCACCCCCUCUCAAAGCUCUCACUCUCAGAGGCUCUCACAUUCUCCCCCUCACCUUUUAGAUAAAUACAUAUUCAAUGUGGACGUAGCCCAAACCUUGGGGUGAACCACGAUACAUCUUGUGUUAUUUACAUUUCUUGCAGAUUCACGGUCGGAUUUACGUUGUUCCAAGACCUCUCCAGUUUUGUGCAUCAACAUUUGGCGUCGUCUGUGGGAAUCGAUACGAAAAGUUGUGUCGGUUCUCUUUCAUUUUCUCACUUCCAUCGUGAAUCUGCAAAAUCACAAAAAAAAAAAAAAACCCAAGAAACCAAAACUCAAACCCUUCCAACCCUUCUCUCUCACGCAUAAACACUCUGAGAGUCACGAUGAGUAAAGAAAAACUCACAGUGCUGCUGGUUCUGCUAUGUGCAGCUAAUUUCCACGUCACAUUCUCUCUCUUUGAAUUUAGUUGGAUUUGUGAUGGUGUCAGCUAUAAUACAUUUCGAGAAUUAAGUUGCUAGAAGCACGUAAUAUUAUUAUCCAACUUCAUCAUGAUCAUCCUCAUCAUAUCAUGAUGUCUUCAUUUGACAUGAACAAUAACUCUGUUAAUUAUCAUGUUUCCAUGCCCAUGACGAAAAGUUUCAGCAUGGAGUGACGCCGCAUUUCGAUCGGAUUUGCUGCAUCGAUGAGGCGGCGUUGUGCGCCAAAUGUGACGUGGAAGUACAUGCAGUGAAUAAGCUUGCAAGCAAGCACCUGAAACUUCUCCUCGAGUGUCUCUCAAAGUCAAACAAACUCCCCAGCAGCGCGUCGACGAUCAAGCUCCAGCCACUGGUGAUCGUCAACAUCUCCGACCACUACUCUAGGGUUAAGUCCCAGAUGCACUUGCUCGUCACCAACACAUCGACACCACUACCGCCUAACAACGAUGUCGACGGAGAAGUAAAAGCAGCCUCUUUUGUCAUCAACAGACCAUAUUAAAAAGAUGUGAAGCUUCGAACCAACCUGUCGCAUCUCAGCUCCUUCCUCCAUUGGAACUUUGAACAGUCAACGGGGAAGCUCUAGAUACAUUAGCCGCCAUGCAAGGUCGCCCAAGCUCUUGUCGCUUAACCGCUGUCCAGUGGGACACCGAGGGUGUACGCGUCGCCGAUCCAUAGCUACUCUACCACCUUGGCGGAGGGCAACCUGACGUACGAGGUCACGGAUUUAACGGCGGAGUAUCUGAACAACGAUGAGGUGAUCAUAUCUGCAACCAAAGCUCCAGCUUCGAAACCCAGAAGAGAGAGAAAAAGCUGCGAGGAUAAAAAAGUUAUCAAAAAUGUUGAUUCUAUUCAGGUUUCUCAUCACGUCUACGCAAUGCUACUCGGAAACCAAAUCCUUACCUCCAACCCUGAUCUAGCUAUGCAAGCAAACGUUGUUUUCCUUCCCUUGUUAGUAUUCAUGAAAACCAUUCCCUCAAGCUUCAUUCUAACAUUCUUCCUCCCAGCUUCUGGGUAUCCAAGUCAUACCAUUAUGAGACUUCAACGUUGUUGUUUCCUCCGACCAAUCAGAGUGUGGCAGCUGUUUGGUGCCACUUGUCCAAUCAUUGUGUCGGUUUUUAACAAAACCAUGUCAACAGCUCUUGGUACCACUCGUCCAGGCGGCAAAGUUUGCCUUGUCGGAAUGGAUCACGGCGUGUUAGAUCCAUUUACUCCAGCUGCUGCCAGGAAAUGUGUUGCCUUUUCGAUGGGUCUCUAACCUACCCCUUCAAAAUUUUCAAUCAUCCAACAGCGCAGCCAGUGGCUAUAACCUAGCUACCUUCUCUCCAAACCUCCGUGUUGUUUCCCCUGCUGACGUGGGAUCUGGUCAAGGUGGAUCAGCCUGAUGACCGUGUGAUUGCCCUCCAUGUGCUCGGUGGAUCUCAAGCUCAAAAUCUGCAGAGGAAUGUGGGUGGUGUCAAAGCUGUCCUAGUAGCUGUCAUUCUAGACAAAAGCAAGAAAAGCAAUGGCGAUUAAAAGCUUAAAGUCAGAUGGUCUCCAAAGGCCAUAGAACAUAGGUGGACAAAGAUAAUUGUGAAGGACCAGAGAUAAUUGCGGGGGACUCGUGGACCAUGCAGAAACAAAAGCAAAAGGAAAAGCAGAAAAGGAAAAGAGAAAAGCAGUAGGAAACAGAAACAAAAGCAAAAGGAAAAGCAGAAAAGGAAAAGAGAAAAGCAAAAAAUCUUCCUAUUAUUAUGAUUCCUUAUGUCUGCCAGAUGAAGAAACAGAGAAAGUGCAGCAGAAAAACACUGCAAAAGCAAGGAAUAAACACCCUACCAGAAUGAUGUAAUUUAUUUUCCUAAUCUUUUGGAAACAUUUGUAUAAACCCCAUCAGAGGGUAAAAAAAAAAAAAAAAAAAAAAAAAAGGCAAAGCCCAAAAUAAAUGGGUUGGAAUGUUGUGUAGAGGGCAAAGGCCCAUAAGCCUAAAAUAGCUCUAACCAGGCGAUCAAAAGUACGCCAAAUACUCCACAAUUAUUCGGCAACCUGCCAUUGUUACCACCAACCAGGUGAUCAAAAGUACACCCAGUACUCCACAAUUAUUCGGUAACCUGCCGCUAUUACCACCAACCAGGUGAUCAAAAGUACGCCCAGUACUCCAUAAUUAUUCGGCAGCCUGCCGCUAUUACCACCAACCAAGUGAUGAAAUGUACAACCCGUACUCUAAUAUCAUUUGGCAACUAACCAUUCAUGCCACCAACCAGAUGAUGAAAUGUACAACCCAUACUCUCCUUCAUGACACCAACCAGGUGAUCAAAAGUACGCCCAGUACUCCAAAUUAUACAUGAGCAUUACUUAUGUCAUUCAUACAUAAACAUUCAUGAGCAUCACUCAUGACAAUCAUACAUAAACAUUCAUGACCAUCAUUCAUGUUAACAUUCAUGAGCAUCACUCAUGUUAACAUUCAUGAGCAUCACUCAUGACAACAUCCAUGAGCAUCACUCAUGUCAAUCAACAUAAACAUUCAUGAGCAUCACUCAUGUCAAUCAGCUUUAAAAGCUUUAUUUACAGAGCUCUAGCUUCAAAAGCUUCAUUUACAGAGCUUUAACUUCAAAAUCUUCAUUUACAAAAGCUCUAGCUUUAAAAACUUCAUUUACAGAGCUCUAGCUUCAAAAACUUCAUUUACAAAAGCUCCAGCUUCGAAAGCUUCAUUUACAGAGCCCUAGGUUCAAAGCUUCACUUGCAAAGUUUCACCUACAAAGCUUUAGUGCAGGAUAUACAAAUACCGCAUCCGAACAACCGCCACUUCGGCCCAUACAUGGAUUCAAUUUGAAGUUUCCAGCCAACAUACUCUAUUGACCAAAGACUUGGGGGACUACAUUAUGUACCAUAUAUUGGGCCUCAACUGGGCCUGAUGAAAAAUACUUGGGGGACCUAGCCCAUCACUUAUGUAUUGAGGAGCGAGCCCUUAUUUUAUAAAAGGGACUCCCUCACCUUCGUUAGAAAGCAUCACCACCAGCUGAGCAAUCGCCUCACCACGAGCAUCACUCCUAACCCAUUAUCUAUGUACUGAGGAGCGAGCCCUUAUUUUAUAAAAGGGACUCCCUCAUUUUCCUUAGAGAGCACUCAUGAAAAAUACUUGGGGGACUUAGCCCAUCACUUAUGUAUUGAGGAGCGAUCCCUUAUUUUAUAAAAGGGACUCCCUCACCUUCGUUAGAGAGCAUAGCCAUCAGCUGAGCAACCGCCUCGCCACGAGCAUCACGUCUAAACCAUUAUUCAUGUACUGAGAAACGAGCCCUUAUUUUAUAAAAGGGACUCCCUCACCAUCAUUAGAGAGCAUCAACUCUAGUCCAUCAUUCAUGUAUUGAGGAGUGAGCCCUUUAUUUUAUAAAAGGGACUCCCUCACCUUUAAACGCCACAAACCGAGCCAACCAAGGCAACAUAAGCCAUGAGCCGAGCAGCCUCGCAGUGUGUGCUACUUCUAGUUGAGCAUUAUUUCAAAUUGAGCACUGCCUCAUAUCGAGCAUCAGUUUAAGACGGCAUCUAGUUACUUCGGCCCACACAUGGAUUGAAUUUCAAGUCUUCAGCUAAAAGACUCUCUUGACUGAAGACUUGAGGGACUACUGUUUAUACCAUAUUUAGGGCCUUGUAUUUAGACCUUGUAUAAAUACUCGGGGGACUUAAAUGUAAUUAUGUAAUAAAGGAAGGGGCCAAUAUGUAAUAAGUGAGGAGUCCUUAUUCUAUAAAAGGACCCCUCACCCUCACAAUUGAGAGAGGCCAAUUCCUAAAGCUCCUCACCCCUCUCAAAGCUCUCACUCUCAAAGGCUCUCACAUUCUCCCCCUCACCUCUCAGAUAAAUACAUAUUCAGUGUGGACGUAGCCCAAACCUUGGGGUGAACCACGACACGUCUUGUGUUAUUUACAUUUCUUGCAGAUUCACGAUCGGAUUUACGUUGUUCCAAGACCCCUCCGAUUUUGUGCAUCAAUAAAUAUCAAGCAAAUCAACAUCCACAAAGAGGUUGGGAGAAUGUCAAUACCUGGGGUUAUCAAGAUCAUAAAUCAAGGAACAAUUUGUUUUCCAACAUGUACAAUUCAUAUUGGAGUGAUCAUUCAAACUCUAAGUGGUGGGAAUCUCAACAAGUUCAACAUGAAGGAUAUUGGUAGCCAUAUGAGGAGUUCUAUUCAAGACUUGCGCAGCCACCACAACCUCAUAUACAAUAUGCCCAACCAAACUCAGGUUCGUCAACAAAUUGUGAUCAAAUUCUUGAUGAAUUAAUUUCUUUGGCGCAUGGCUCACAAAAUCAAGCCAAGGAGGCUCAACAAGGAGAAUAUUGGCAGCCAUAUGAGGAGUUCUAUACACCGCCUAUGCAGCCACCACAGCCUCCCCCACAACAAUUCCAAUCGAAUUCAAGUAUGUCCAUAGAUAAUGAUAAAAUUCUUGAUGUACUAACUUCUUUGACGCAGGGCCUACAAAACCAAGCUAAGGAGAUGAGCAAAUUGAAAAAUCAACUUGGAGAGAUUGCAAAAUUCAUUGGGCAAAUUCAAGAACAAAGUGAACUCUCCAACUCAACCAUUGUUAAUCCAACGUGAGACUUUGAAAUCGCUGAAGCUAUCACCUUGGGAAGUAGUAUAGAGGUUGGAGCGGACCAAAAAAUGUCCAAACACAGCCAUAAUAUGGAUGAACAGCUGCUGCAAGAAAAAGAAGAGGUGGACAAGGCCACGGCAAGGGAAUAACAUCCCUUGCCACAGCCUUCUAAGGCUCCUACACCAUCCAAUUCAGGUAAGGUUGUUCCAAAUUCAAUUCUUUCUAACCCCAUUCCACCAAAUGUCCUUAUCCCUUGCAGGUUCAUGAUUUCCAAAGAAGAAGAAAGUGCAAAAAGACAUCUUGGAAGCCCUUCCAAAGGUGCAAAGUAAUAUCCAAAUUCUUGGUACAACAAAUCAAGUUCCAGAAUGUGUUGAAUUAUUCAAAGAACUUUGUACAACAAGAAGAAUGAUUCAAGAGAAAGAAGUGGUUGGGGAAUAUCAAGAAUUCAUCAAAGGGGAUGUACUUGAGACGACAAUUCCCAAAGAAGUUAGAUUUUAUGACACGGGACAAGUCAUAACUCUCAAAACACCAAAUAUGGCUGAAUUUUCUAGUCCUACAACUUUCGAAGGGGUGUUUAUUCUUGAGUUCAUGUCGGAGCACACAGGUAAGCCACCUCCCCGAAUUUCAAUUUUGUUUUAUGAUUUAGGCACCCAUUCUAGAAUUUAAACCAUUACCUGAUCAUUUCAAAUAUCACCUCCCAUUCAAAGAUCAACUCCAUGCCGUGGGCUCCAAUGAAGCUUAAAAGGAGGUAUCGUCCGGCUGGAAGAUGUUAAAGCAAGCGCUUUUUGGGAGGCAACCCAUGCGAAUAAAGAAGAACUAGGAAGCUCCGGCAUCAUAACCAGAUUUGCGUUCUUAAACUCUACUCUUUCUUGCUUUUACUUUGCCUUGUUUUUCAUGUUUGUUUGUUGUGUUGUUUGCUUGUUUAUGUAUGGGUCUAUGUUUGAAACAUUGAGGACAAUGUUUGGUGUAAGUGUGGGGGGGGGGUAAACAAGUGUUUUUAUUGAAAAUUCGUGGGUUUUUAUCACCUAGCACCACUAGAGUUGUUUCUCACUAUUUUUAAGUGUUUUUAGUGUGUUUUGAAGUGUUUUAGUGUGUUUUGAAAGAAAAAUAUGAAAAUUUGAAAAAAAAAUUGAAAAAAUUUUGAAAAAAUCCAAAAAGAGUCAUUUUUGUGUGUUUGUGUCUUAGGGUACCUUCCAACACAAUGAUGAGGAUUUGGUUUUUAAUUGCAUGACUGUUAAAGAAAGCUACAAACAUGGGUAAAAGUUUGAUACGCCCUUUGGUUAAUACUUGGUUGUAGUUGUUGUUUACAAAUUCACAUGUAAUCACAAAGGAAAAAAAAAGUUUUUGUAACAUGCUUGAAGGAAGGAACUCAAACUAACGCUGCAACCCUGAGAGACUUGAGCCUAAACUUUAUUUGGAGAGCUAUUAAUAUGUGAUCUCCUGUUUUCUAAAGUCGUUGCAUGAUCUCAUUAUUCUUUGCUUGGUUGCUACUUAGAAUGCGUUUUAUCACUUUAGUUCCAAAUACUAGAAUCAAAGCUUUAAAAUUGAGUGCAUAACAUAUAACAAGAUGGAGUUGUUUAGUAGUUACCACCAGAGCCAAAAAGCCUUCAUCCCAUGCAUUUGUUUUGUAGGUUUAACCUCUUUGAGCCUUAUUUAGCCUAUUUUCGUUGUUAGCCACAUUACCCCGACCUAGCCUAGAAUAGGACUAUCCAUACCCUUGUUCUUAAAGUAUAGUGGAGCAUGACUUAAAGGGAAUUCCUUUUGAUCAAACAUAUUGCAGAAAUCAAGUUGGGGGAAGGAUAUGUACAUGGGUAGAAAAGAAAAAAAAAAGAAAAGAGAAAAAAAGAAAAAAAGAAAAAAAGAACGUGAAAAAGAAAAAAAAAAGUUGUGAAAUAAGUGAGAAAGAACUCACAAGUAUUGGUUGUUGAAGAAAGGGUCUAAAAAUUUUGAAUAUGACCCUAAGUUGUACGAAAUCCCCUUAGUGUUUCAAGUUAUUUGCUGCAUUCAAGAGUGAAUUCUAAGUUGAUUUCAUUACUUUGCUUACUAUUGCUUUAAGAACCUUUGUUUAUCCUUACCUUUAUUUGUUAGCCAAUACCCUUAGCCCCGUUACAACCCUUAGACUUUAAUCUUGGUUGUCGUGUGUUUCAAUAUGUGGAGUCUGGGAUUGGUAUGAGCAUAUGGUAUCCCUGGUUCUCGCUUCUAAGUAGUGGCAUUCCAUUCAUGAGAUCAUAUAUAUAUACAUGCAUUAAUUAUUCCACAAAGUGCUUUCUUUGUUUAAAACUUAUGUGAGUGGCUAGUCUACAUGUUUACAUCAAUCUUCUCAAAUAUACCUAGUAUAGGGAGUGUAGUCAAAACGUUUGUGUGAAAAUAGAGUGUAUAUCCGGUGAGGAAUUGAGGGAAUUCUCUAAGGCAUGUUACUACCUUUAAAAUGUUGUUUUAAUUGAUUAAAUGCGAGCUAGUGAGUGGUGACUGUGAUUAAGUAAGCGCUUGAGGGUAAGGAUAACUAAAAUCUAUGUGAGUAGUGAUUUUUAAUAUGUCAUGUUUCUUAGGAAAUCCCUGAGGCAAAUGUUCAAAGGUUUAGGUUAUGUUUUGUUUGUUUCGUUUUGCUCGAGGACUAGCAAAAGCUAAGUGUGGGGGUAUUUGAUAGGAGCAUAUUUAUGCGACUUAGCUUGUUUUCUUGCAUUUUCAUAGCUUGUGUUUUCUUGCAUUUUCAUAGCUAGUUUCUACUUAUUAUAGUGUUUUAAGCUAUUUUCGAGUGUUUGUAGGUUUAAUUGGCAAAGUUGGCAAGAAAAUGCAUUUUGAAGCAUUUUAAAGCACUUUUGGGCACCAAAUGGAUAGCUUUUGAGGGGAUCAAGAUGGAUGGACGAAUUUGAAGUUCAAGAGGCUAUGAAUGUGCUGAUAAGAUGAAGAAAAUAAAUCAAAGACAAAGAAGAUAAGGAAUCAGCUCAAAAGAAGGAACAUUAUCCAAAACCUUAUCCAACCUUAUCUUAUCCAAACAAACCUUAUCUUAUCUUAUCCUUGCCUAAUCUAGCUUUAUCCUAUCUUAUCCAAAUCAGUUUGUGCCUUAAAUCUAACUGCAAGAGGACCUAAAUAUAUGAUUUCUAGAAGGCUUAUCCUUUCCCUACAUAUAUGCCGCACCCUUGCUAUUCUAGAACCCCUAAAUUGGUGCCGUGUCAAUCUUUCUGGAAGACCAUAUAAAUCUAGCGUUUUUCCUUGUUCUAGAAGCCUUAGAAUUUGCUGGAACCUUUAAUCCUUUUCCUUGUGGAUUUGGGUUAUGCAAAUCCUUUUUCAGAAAUUAAUUGGCCAAACCUUUUUCCUGGUGGAUUUAAACCCUUGUGUUGCACCUUUAGGCCCUAGUCCUUUAUUCAUGCUGAUUUCUAACCCUAAUCUGAUUCCCCCUAGGGUUUGCCAUGCCUAUAUAUAUGUAUUUUCAGCCAAAAUUCGUCCACCACCCCCUAUAUACUUCUAAAACCCUCUCAGCCGUAGAAACACACCAUUCUACACCUUUGCCACGCCCUUGGGAGAAGAAGAGAAGCUUGAUGUGCCUUCCAUUGGAGCAAGGACCUUGUGCACAAGCCACCUGCAACCAUUGGAGUUCUAAGAGUUCUUUCUUCCCUCAUUUUAGUUUCAAUAUUUAUUUCAGUUUGCUUUUCAAUUGCCAUGAACAUGUGUAACUAAGUUUUUCUUAGUUAGAGGUGAAUUCAAAGCCAUGGACAUAUGUUUAAUAUGAAUUGAUUCCUUUCAGUUUUUGUUUCGUAAAACAUGGAUAUGAUUUACUUAUCUAUUUGAUUGAUAACUUAUUUUUGUGUGUUGAUUAAGGAUGCAUACUUAGUUUGCAUACAUGAAUCUGACGCUAAAUUAUAAGGGACUUUCACCUAAUCGUUAGGAACUUAUAAUUAAAAGUAGUGGAGAUUGCUAGUCACAAUCGUGUUAAGUAGAUUCUUGGCUGGAGUAUCAUGCAGUUCAUAGUUAUGAUAUCAUUGUCAAUGCUUAUGAUUUCCAUGGAACUUAAUGAUCUUUGAAUGUAUCUCUAUCAUGCUGUUCAUAUAGGGAACUUGAGAAGAAUAAUUUGGUUGUGAUGCAUUGUCCAUUCAAUUCAAUGAAUUUAGGGAAAUCUGAGAGUUAAUUUGUGCAUUCACGAUUAAUUUGGGGCAUUGUCAUUCAUGGUUUAAAGAAACAAUACUGGAAAUUGAUUUAUGUUGCAUAUGUUCAUGUGUAGAGGACCCUCUAACUAGCCUAUUUCACCAUUCAAUUCACCUGAUUUCGUACCUAGUUUGAUUUAGUUUUGCAAUCUGUUCAAUUUAAUUAAUUUCGUUCAAAUGAAUUCCCCCUUUUAUUAAGCGUGUUAGAUUAGUUAGAAAAGUGUUUAAAUCUGUCCAAUUUAGUGUUUUGAGUCUUCAUAGUCUUAAAUUCGUCUAAAUCACUCCCUAGAGUCUGUUUUGGGUCCUUUUAACUUAGGUUUGCUGUUUUGAGUCAGUUUGGUCAGUUUUGAGUCAGAAAAGUCUAGUUUUCUGUUUUUGAGUCUAGUUUAGUGUUUUAAAGUUUAAAUUGAUUAGAUUAGCAUCCCUUCUAAUCUUCGACCUAAAACGAUCCCUACUUACAUAUACUACAAUUAUAGGGUUUUAAUUUGAGUGUUGGAUAAUUUUCACAUCAUUAAGCCCUUGCAAUGUCUUUCCUUUCACCGAUACUCUUUAACCUCCAUGUCCUCACAAACUAAACUUUAAUCCUUAAAUAAGGUAAAGUUUAGAUAAAUGUUCGAUACAAGAAAGGGGACCCACCUAUCCCAUGCCAUAAUAAUUAACGGCUAAAUUAACCGAAUAUGUAAUGGAUAUAUGACAUUGUAACGAAUUUGGAAAUUGAAGUAUGACAUUGCAAUAUGAGUUUGUUAUGUGACCCAAUAUUAGAACAAAAAUAGAAUAUGAAUUUAAAUUAAACCACACAUCAAAGGACUAGAAUCAAUAUGUAAUCUAACACUAGAUUUUAAAUGAAAUUUUCAAAUAUUAGAGUUAAAAAAAGAUUAUUUUAUUAACCCCCCACAAUUUGUUGAAAACACCCCACAAUUAAUUUUUUUUCUCCCAAUAAUUCUAGCUUUACCCUUGCUUUUGUUAAAUCCACCCCACACUACAAAACAAAAAAUGGCACAACCAUUCACCCCACCACCACCCCUCGUGGUUGACUUUAUUGUGUCUUAUCCAAUCAACCAAAUGUUUGGAGAAGCCAGGUUACAACCUAAACAUUGUUUUCCAAUGACCCAUAUUCUACUGCAUGUAUUGGUUCCUUUCAACAUAUGAAUUGAAAUUUUGUGGUGCUUCUCCUUCAUUUUCCCUUGACAAAUUGAAUGUGAAUUUGUUUGGAAAUAUGUUACUCAUCACAAGGAUUGCAUAUGACAGAUCUGUGGAUGCAAAUUUCUUCCUCCUUGAUCUUGGACAAUAUUGCACCUACAAAACAAUUAACACCUUUGGGUCAAGGCCAAGAGCCUCACGCGCCCACGAUGAAUGAUGGGGAUUUGGCUGAAGAACCUUCAAUGCCAAAGUUAGAAUUUAGGGAGAAAAGUGUUUAGAGAGUUUUUGGAGUUUUGCAAGAGUGUGGACUUAGUCUUUCAAAGAAAAUGGAGUUCUAUUUAUAGACCAUUGAGGUGUAAUGGUGAUUAAUUUGGUGAUUAAUGGAUUAAUUCCUAAUUAAUCCAUUAAUUAGCCUAAUUAAUUUAAUUUAUAUGGAAGGUUUUGAAGGUUAUGGAAUGAUUUCCUUGUAGAGGAUAUGGAGUAAAGAUGGAUGAGAUAAAUUUGAACUUGUUACCUAUUUUGGGCACUCUUGACCCAGUUGAUGGAUGAUUAUCCGCUGCUUGCGUGUAGGAAACCCGGUGUGUCUCGAGGGUAAUUUUGUCCUCUUUACCUAAAAAUCCACGUGU
rnacentral:lncRNA from 1 species